GAGCAGUAUCAGAAUGGUGCCGCAGCAACACAUGUAAACGUAUGAUGCAGUAGUUAAUCCCAAAUUAUUUUUCCGUCUGAUCUGGCCCUUGUGAGUGGUGUGCCUUUAUUUAUCGGGAAUAGCUUAUUAUGUAACUUUAUUAUUUUAGCCUGGAGAUGAGUAGAAUAUUUAUUGGGAAUAUCUUAUUAUAUAACUUUAUUUUAGCCCAG
rnacentral:misc_RNA from 1 species